UGAUACACUUUGACAGACACACAUUAUUACUCAGACACAGUGUGUGUCUGAGUAAUAAUGUGUGUCUGUCAAAGUGUAUCA